AAAGCUAAAGCUUUACGGAAAAA
rnacentral:snRNA from 1 species